GCCGACAUGGUUGGCGAUAUAGCGGCCCCGCACGCUCACGGUGUGCGCCUCGCUGCCGCGGCGGAAGCGCCAGCGGUUGUCGUCCGCGUGUUCGCCC
rnacentral:tRNA from 1 species